UUAGAAGAAAUCUACUUUGGUAGAUUUAGGCGUGACUCCUGGUUGGUUUUUGAGUAGCUGUUACUGAAGUGUUAAAAUUCAAGUCGAGUUUUUGUAUUUAUCCUUCAAUAUCGGCUUUUCCAAUCAUUGUGAAGCGGGAUUCAGUAAGGGAACAUAAGCUGGGCUUAGACCAUCAUGAGACCGGUUAUUUUUACACUUUUAAUGAGUACAGUAAUCAGUGAAGUACAAUCUGGCCGUUGUUAUGGUAAUCCUGCUUAGUACAAGGAGAACUGUAGGUUCAACGAAAUGGUAUAUAUGCCUGGUUGAGAGGCCAAUGGUGUAAAUCUACCAUCUGACGGAUUUAGACUGAACGCUUCUUAUUCUGAAUCCCGUUCAUAUUUGUAACGGUAAAUUCCGUAUCUCACAAAUCGAUCCACUGAAGUGGA
rnacentral:ncRNA from 1 species